rnacentral:miRNA from 1 species
UAGCACCACGGGAUUCAGCCGC